rnacentral:rRNA from 1 species
AACGAACGCUGGCGGCAUGCCUAACACAUGCAAGUCGAACGCCCCGCAAGGGGAGUGGCGAACGGGUGAGUAACGCGUGGGAACCUACCCAGCAGUUGGGGAUAGCCGCGGGAAACUGCGGCUAAUACCGAAUACGUCCUUAGGGAGAAAGAUUUAUCGCUGUUGGAGGGGCCCGCGUCGGAUUAGCUAGUUGGUGAGGUAACGGCUCACCAAGGCGACGAUCCGUAGCUGGUCUGAGAGGAUGAUCAGCCACACUGGGACUUAGACACGGCCCAGACUCCUACGGGAGGCAGCAGUGGGGAAUAUUGGACAAUGGGGGCAACCCUGAUCCAGCAAUGCCGCGUGAGUGAUGAAGGCCUUAGGGUUGUAAAGCUCUUUUACCGGGGACGAUGAUGACGGUACCCGGAGAAUAAGCCCCGGCUAACUUCGUGCCAGCCGCCGCUGUAA